rnacentral:rRNA from 1 species
UACGAAGGGGGGCUAGCGUUGUUCGGAAUCACUGGGCGUAAAGGGCGCGUAGGCGGCUUUAUAAGUCGGGGGUGAAAGCCUGUGGCUCAACCACAGAAUUGCCUUCGAUACUGUAGAGCUUGAGACCGGAAGAGGUAAGUGGAACUGCGAGUGUAGAGGUGAAAUUCGUAGAUAUUCGCAAGAACACCAGUGGCGAAGGCGGCUUACUGGUCCGGUUCUGACGCAUGAGGCGGCGAAAGCGUGGGAGCAACAGG